AGCGAACGCUGGCGGCAGGCCUAACACAUGCAAGUCGAACGAACUCUUCGGAGUUAGUGGCGGACGGGUGAGUAACACGUGGGAACGUGCCUUUUGGUUCGGAAUAACUCAGGGAAACUUGUGCUAAUACCGAAUGUGCCCUUCGGGGGAAAGAUUUAUCGCCAUUAGAGCGGCCCGCGUCUGAUUAGCUAGUUGGUGAGGUAACGGCUCACCAAGGCGACGAUCAGUAGCUGGUCUGAGAGGAUGACCAGCCACACUGGGACUGAGACACGGCCCAGACUCCUACGGGAGGCAGCAGUGGGGAAUCUUGCGCAAUGGGCGAAAGCCUGACGCAGCCAUGCCGCGUGAAUGAUGAAGGUCUUAGGAUUGUAAAAUUCUUUCACCGGGGACGACAAUGACGGUGCCCGGAGAAGAAGCCCCGGCUAACUUCGUG
rnacentral:rRNA from 1 species